rnacentral:rRNA from 1 species
GGCCCAGAUCGUUUACCGUGAAAAAAUUAGAGUGUUCAAAGCAGGCAGAUUCAAUUUUCUGCCACCGAAUACAUUAGCAUGGGAUAAUGGAAUAGGACCCUGUCCUCCUAUUUUCAGUUGGUUUUGGCAGCGCGAGGACUAGGGUAAUGAUUAAUAGGGAUAGUUGGGGGCAUUAAUAUUUAAUUGUCAGAGGUGAAAUUCUUGGAUUUAUGAAAGAUUAACUUCUGCGAAAGCAUCUGCCAAGGAUGUUUUCAUUAAUCAAGAACGAAAGUUAGGGGAUCGAAGACGAUCAGAUACCGUCGUAGUCUUAACCAUAAACGAUGCCGACCAGCGAUUAGGAGACGUUGAAUACAAAACACCACCAUCGGCGCGGUCGCCCUUGGCGUUCGUGUUCACGCACGGGCGCGAGGGCGGCUUAGCCCGAUGGCACCGGUGAAUGACUCCCCUAG